rnacentral:rRNA from 1 species
AAGGAAUAUUGGACAAUGGAGGCAACUCUGAUCCAGCCAUGCCGCGUGAAGGAAUAAGGCCCUAUGGGUUGUAAAUUUCUUUUAGACGGGACAAAACCCCUUUACGUGUAAAGGGUUGAUGGUACUGUCAGAAUAAGCAUCGGCUAACUUCGUGCCGGCAGCCGCGGUAAUACGAAGGAUGCAAGCGUUAUCCGGAAUUAUUGGGUUUAAAGGGUGCGUAGGCGGACUAAUAAGUCAGUGGUGAAAGCCUGCAGCUUAACUGCAGAAUUUCCAUUGAUACUGUUAGUCUUGAGUACAGUUGAGGUAGGCGGAAUGUGUCAUGUAGCGGUGAAAUGCUUAGAUAUGACACAGAACACCGAUUGCGAAGGCAGCUUGCUAAGCUGUAACUGACGCUGAGGCACGAAAGCGUGGGGAGCAAACA